UAUUUUCUUUAUCAUCCGCGC
rnacentral:piRNA from 1 species